AGACAUAAAAGGCACACAAUCAAAGUCAUACAUGUACACUGUCAUACAAUCACAGACAUAAUCAUACAGAGACAUAUAGACACAGAGACAUACAGUCAGAGACAUACAGACACACUCACACAGAGACAUACAGUCAGAGACAUACAGACACACACACACAGACAUACAGGCAGAGACAUACAUGCAUACAGAGGCAUACCAUCAUACAGACACAUACAUAGAGGCACCAACUGUGAAUACACACACACACACUCUGCUUAAUCCACACGCACACAGACUGCUGAAUACACACAUAUUGCGUAAUACGAACAGAGAAUGCUAAAUACAUGUGCAGACUGCUGGAUACACACACAAAAACUGCUGAAUAGACACAGACUGUUGAAUACAUACACAGACUGCUGAAUACGCACACACGCAGACUAAUGCAUACACAUACAGACUGCUGAAUACAUACAGACUGCAGUGUCUGUGUGAUGGAUGUUGUGCGGAGUGUGAGUAGUGCAGUGUGUGUGUGAGGUGUGCAUAGGGAUAAGGG